rnacentral:rRNA from 1 species
GUGGGGAAUAUUGCACAAUGGGCGCAAGCCUGAUGCAGCCAUGCCGCGUGUGUGAAGAAGGCCUUCGGGUUGUAAAGCACUUUCAGCGGGGAGGAAGGCGAUAAGGUUAAUAACCUUGUCGAUUGACGUUACCCGCAGAAGAAGCACCGGCUAACUCCGUGCCAGCAGCCGCGGUAAUACGGAGGGUGCAAGCGUUAAUCGGAAUUACUGGGCGUAAAGCGCACGCAGGCGGUCUGUCAAGUCGGAUGUGAAAUCCCCGGGCUCAACCUGGGAACUGCAUUCGAAACUGGCAGGCUAGAGUCUUGUAGAGGGGGGUAGAAUUCCAGGUGUAGCGGUGAAAUGCGUAGAGAUCUGGAGGAAUACCGGUGGCGAAGGCGGCCCCCUGGACAAAGACUGACGCUCAGGUGCGAAAGCGUGGGGAGCAAACAGGAUUAGAAACCCGAGUAGUCC